CUUAGAAUAUGCAGUAAUUUUUCAAAAAGGCUUUCAUCAAGUUUCAAACACCACCGGGGGGGGGGGGGAGGGGGGGGAGGUCCCGAUUUCUCCGGUCAGGCUAGCUUACCUUUGGAGUUAGUCAGACUCGUCUGCCGCCUAUUUGUGUCGAACCCCCUCCAGACCAAUCCCAAAGAUUUGUAUCACCCAAGAUUAGCAAAAUAAUAAAAAAAUUAAUAAUAGAAGGGCAUUAUGAUUAUGAAAAAAAAUACUUCAGCUACACUCGAACAGUUAUAAAAUUGCAUGACAAUGAUUGGUUUCUCCGCUACCACCCACAAACCUAUCUUUUGUGGUUCGUAGCGGUUGAUGGCAUUAUGCAAUAAUCUCAGAAUACGCUAUAAAUCGUUUCAAACAGCUAUAAAUCGUUUCAAACGGCUAUAAAUCGUUUUAAACCGUUAAAAUCUCUUAAAUUAAAAAUCUGGUUUCAACUAACGUUUGCGGUUGCGGGAGGGUAAAAUAUAAGAAACUACAUAAAUAUAUAAAAAAAUUAAAUAUUCAAUUAAAUUUUAAAUUUCAAUAAUAUAAAUACUAUAUAUAUAUUUUUUAAUUUAUAUAAAAACUUAAAAGAAAAUUAUUUUCUAUAAUUUUUAAAACUUUAAUAGCAUAAUUUUAUAUUUAUUAUAAUACUAUGCUUUUUAAUAUUUUUAUAAUUAUAGAAAAUGUAAAUAUCGUUAAUUUAUUAUUUAAUCACUGCUGCAUUUGGUAUUUAACGAAUCAUAAGUAUUCCGCUAACGCAAUAAUUUCUAAAACCGUUGUACCAGUCGUACAAAUCUCUUAAUAAUGCUUAAAACUGCAACUAUCCGCAUAUGUAUCCGCAAACUUCCGCAACCGCACCCGAAACUGAUGGGGUUACACCGGUUAAGCCUUUAGAAGCAGUCUCAGUAACUGGGUUGUUCUAAGAAAAGCAUAUGCGACUCAUUUUAAUUGUUUGACCCUGUAUUACUCUAUGGAUCCAAACAAGACUGCGUAUAUGUAAAAUUUCAUAUUCGAUACAAAUUGCUUUUUAAUUCGCUCUAUAUAUAGACAAAAAAUAGUUUUCUAUAGACUAUCAUUUAAUUAGACAAGAUUUAAUCCGAGCAAUACUGCGUUUUUCAGACCCAAUACGUUGAUUUCCAGAAUUUGAAAUGCAGUUUUUGUGGAGAAGAUAUUAAGGGUGGCACCAAACGUGAAGAAACUCUAUCUUCUUCUAAGAGCAUCAAAUGAAAAAUCUGCUACCCAGAGGUUUAAGGAUGAGGUUUGUCUCAGCCUACUUAGAUUUGGAGUGUUGAGUUUAUAUGGGUUUAGUUGUUGUAUAUGCAAAAAAAACUCCCAUUUGGCUUAAUUAAUAAGCCUAAUUUUAAUCAAAUAAUUCAAAAGGUCAUAUGGACCGCCAACUUUUUGAGGUGUUUAAAAUCAAUGCAGAUCUUGGGGAAGGAUUUGUACAAGGUGGUGAAAGAGAAGUAUGGUCCAAAUCUAACUCAACUUACAUCUGAGAAAGUCACUGUCGUCAAUGGUGACAUUUGCCUUGCGGAUUUGGGUAUUCAAGACUCUUUGGCACAUGAGAUGAUCCACCAAGUUGAUGCCAUUAUUAAUUUAGCGGCAACUACUAAGUUUGAUGAACGGUAUUUAUCCAACCAACAUGAACUGAAUUUUAUUUAUUGCUGACAAUAACGAACAAAAAUACUUAUUUAGUUACUGAUUUAUGUCGGUAUAUAUUUACCCCCUUAGCAAUAAAUAUGUUAUCAGUCAAUUCAAAACCAACAACAUCUUAGCACGACAUAAACUGUUGUUACUGUUUAUAAAUAAAAUAAAAGGUUAUAGACCGAUGGAAAAAGUCCAUAUAGUCUUCAUACUGUUCAGUAAUUGCAAGUGAUGUGUGUUUAUAUUACUAAUCAAGGAAUGUUUACAUUAACCGCAGAUACGAUGUAGCACUUGGGAACAACACAUUGGGUCCCCUCAAUGUCUUGGAUUUCGCCAAGAAAUGUGAAAACGCUAAGAUCUUUGUUCAUGUAUCAACAGGUAAAUAUAUAUAGAAACAAAACAAUGCUGUUAAUGACUGAAAUAAUUCGUGUUUAUUAUAGGACAAAUCUCCAAAAUAGCACUUUUUUAAGUUUAUGUCACAAAAAUAGUCUUCAAAAACUAAAAUGACCAAAAUAGUAUUUUAUCUUUUUAAAAAUUUAAAUUUAUUUUAUUUUUCAAAAUUUGAAAUCUUAUCCCAAAACUCCACUCCCCAACUCUAAACCCUUAAACCUAAACUCUAAACCCAAAACCCUAAACUCUAAACCCAAAACCCUAAAUCCUAAACCCUAAAUACUAAACCUUAAAUCCUAAAUCCUAAACCCCACCCCUUAACUUUAAACCCUAAACCCCAUCCCUAAACUCUAAACCCUAAACCCUAAACUCUAAACCCUAAACUCUAAACCUUAAAUCCUAAAUUCUAAACCCCGCCCAUUAACUCUAAACCGUAAUGUCUAAAUUAAUUUACCUUUGGAGUAUAAAUGUAUAUUUAUCUUUUUUGAUAAAACCUUAAGUGCUAUUUUGAUCAUUUUUAUUCUUAAAGGCUAUAUUUGUGACAAAAACUUUUUUAGUGCUAUCCUAGUCAUUUUCUCUUUAUUAUAUCGCAAGUGAUAUUUAUUUUACGUACAAGUGUUCUUCCAUGUUAACUAAUCUUUCAAGUGAACAUCUGCUAAUAAUAAAUUCAGUUUCUAAAGCCGUAUCUUGAUUAGAAGGAUCAUAAUAUAUACGUUUAAAGUUUUCAAUUUUAAGGCCACUUCGCAAGUGAUGUGAAACGAUAAAGACAUUUUUGAAUUUAUAUCAAGAAAUACAAGUGGUCACAUUGAAGAUUAAAUGGGACUUUAUAUGGCAACAAGAAACCAUAAUGCAAAUUAGCUUAGGUUAAGACGAUUUUGACAUGUAACUACUAAGUAGCAGUGCCGUGCGAAGGCUAUGAGAGGCCUGGGACAAAGAUGAUUUAUUUUAUAUCAAAUAAUAGUAAUAAUUUUUUUUAAUAUGAACCAGAAAAUAAAUUGUUUUCUUAUCUUAAAUUUUGACAUUAUUUUUAAGAAAAAAUAAUCUUAUGAAAAUUAGUGGUAAACGUUAAAUUUUGGUUACAACUGAAAAUUGUAUAUAUAAACCCAAAUUAUAUGCAGAAAAAGUGUUCUUGACAUUUAAAAUUAACAUUUAAAAUAAAAAGAUAAUGAAAUUAAUAUCCACAACAACUUAGUAGAAAUGAUCAUAAUUAUUGAAAAGUAUUAAGAGAUAGUAUAAUUUUCAACAUAUUAUCAUAUAUUGAUGAUAUGAUUUAUGAAUAUGGGGGCCCCAAAAUGUAUUGAUGUGAGAGGGGACUGAGGCCAAUGCCUCAAAAAUGAUAAGGUGAGGACGGCCUCUGCUAAGUAGUCCCAAAAAAAAACUACUAAGUAGUCCCAAUACUGUAGAGAUAUUUUUGGUUUCUUACACUUUCCUUUCUAGCACAAUUUUAGUAUUCUUUCUCGGAAUAUUUCAUUAGCAUUAAGGAAUAUUUCAUAAUUAAAACCAACAACUAACAACAUUUGCAUAAUACAGCUUACGUGUCCGGGGAAAAAUCUGGUUUGAUAAUGGAAACACCAUACCGUAUGGGUGAGACGUUGAAUGGAACCACCGGCUUAGAUAUCAACCAUGAGAGGAAAUUGGUCCAGGAGAAACUUGACCAGCUCCUAGUCAUCAAAGCCCCUCCCGAAACAAUCACACAAGCCAUGAAGGAUAUGGG
rnacentral:lncRNA from 1 species